rnacentral:lncRNA from 1 species
UGGAAAUGCAGUACUAAAAUACAGAUGAAAUGAUAUGAAAUCUGGAAUUUAUUUCUAAAUAAUCUUAUGUAGAAAUAAGAAAAAGUAAGUGUUGGAAACAGGGUUGAACAUUAGUAAUGAGUAUAUGGUGGUUCAUUUUAUUAUUCUUUUUUUUAUGUUUUACUUUUUGCAAGGUAUUCUCAAACUUGGGAACCAGCCUUGUAGCCUGACAAAAUUACCUGGGAUGGAGCUCAGGACGACUGGCCCUUGUCUUGCUCUGUGACUGUACAUGUCACUUCUCACUUGUCCAUUCAAAAAAAACUCUGGAGAACCUCCUGUCUGCUUGGGCUUCUAAAUCAUGGCAUCUGCCAAAUAGAAGCAUGGAAGGCUUUGCAAAAGAAUUGACAUUUGAUAUGGAUUCUGACAGAAGAAAAGGAGUUCCCUGGGUGGCAUCAGUUCAUCUUCUAUAAGGGACCUGGCAGCAUCUAGCAGUGUGAUCCAGAGCCUGGUGGAGGGCUGGGAAUGCUAGCAGCUCCUCUAAUUUUUACUGCUGUAAACCAAAGCUUCCAGGAGCAGCCAGCCCAGGAGCACAGUGGGGCUAUCAGCAAAGCAGGGAUGCUGAUCCAAGUUCAAAUCCCAGUCUUCCCAGGGCCACACUGGGAGCUUUGGAGAAAAUUGCAGAAGUUGGAGUUGGCAUCCGUCAACGUAGUGGGAUGAAACAAAGUGGCAGUCGUGGGCCACCUUGCAUAUGGCCUGCACACAGUAGGCCCUCAGCUAGUGAAGGCUUCUGCAGGUGGGGCCCAUGGAGCCCCAGACUUUGGGCUGAGGGAGGCCCAGGCCUAGCCCAUUAGAGGCUGCUGAGCUCCACAUGGAAACCCCAGCUGGCUGUGGGGCCCAAGGUGUUGUGUGGUGAAGUGGCUUCUGGUCAGUGCCAGCGCACGUCCCUACCAGAUUCAGGACCAGUGGCCCCCCAGUGCCAUGAGAAUACUGUGAAAGCUUCCCAGAGGAGGUGCUAUUUGAUCCCCUUUAAAGGAAUACAUCAAAGCCCUACAGGUUGGCCCAAAGCUGCUGUGUCCCCGUAGACAGUGGAUAAGUAACUUGAAAUUCCCUGUGUCCCAAGCACCUGCUGUGUGCUCAAUCAGGAAAGCAAGUGAUAAGCCGAAAAGACAAGCUGCUCAAAUGGGCAAAGAAUAUGAGUAGGUAUGAAUAGGUAUAUGAAUAUGAAUAGGUUCACCAAAGAGGCAUGGAAAGUGGCUCGGAAAUUGAUUUUUAAAAAGAAUGCUCAGU